GAAUCUCUUAUUUAACCUGACACUUUAAGAUUACUUUAACAUACUUUAACAUUACAAAGACGUAAUAUAUUACCAGCAUGAUUAGCCUGCUGUUCGAAUCGUAAAAAUAGCACAAUGUAAGCUCUGCUAGUACAGGCUAGCUGAAAAUAUCUUAAUGAUUAUACAGAGACGACACAUAAAACUUGUAACCUUUCUCGAGUUUGCACAUCUGGACAAUUCUUCACAAAUCACAGGUUGUAAAUUUGGGUAAAUUCAGCAAACAACCGAGUACAUUUGAGCGAUUCUGCCGUCAAUCCGUUUUAAAUAUCCCGUACCGGAAACUGAAUAGCAGCCUUGAGUCAAACGCGGAAGUUAAGCGUGCAUAGAGUCCAUAUGCAGAUUCUUGAGUAAGAAUUUCUCUCAGACAAUAUAGACUCAGAUGGCUUCAUGGUUGACCAUAUUUGUAGUUUAACAAUUUCUAUCAUGUUAAAGUUCUCACACAAAAAUUGCUAGUCUAAGAAUUCUACAAGAAACCUUGUUCCCCACAAAGGCUUGAUGGGUUGUGCAACUUACCUGCUUCCCUUUACAACUCCAGUGAGUGUCUCUAAGGUAGAUCCUAAUGCAGAUGGAUGGAAUGUUGAUCCGCCUAACAUGCAAGAUUUUCUGUACCGAGAACUUUGGAUGACCAUCAAGACGAGCACUCGUUUUGAGUCCUGAGACCCUGGGGUGACCACCGUGAACAAAUACAGACUGCAAAAAGGCAGUCUUGACGGUUCUAGGAUGAAUGCAAAUAAAGACUGACCACCUGACUUCAGCGGUCCAGUCUCUUGUGGGAAGCAGGUGUUUGUUACCCCAAAUACGGAUGAAGAGUGACGAAGAGGAUGAUGACUU